rfam:Streptomyces cellostaticus strain DSM 40189 genomic scaffold PRJNA299219_s097, whole genome shotgun sequence.
CUUUACCGAACCCAGCCACAACGGCCCGUCUCCGGCGCGCUCCUGGCCGUAGGUGGCAAGCAGGGCCUGUGCCUC